GCGACCAACAGGAGUGUGCGUGUGUUGGUGUCUGUGGCGAGUGAACUGUGGCCAAGGACGGAGUGGCGAUUUGCGAGUGUCGACAGUGACAGAUAACCAGUAGCGAGCUGCCUCCUCCACGUGGCAGUGCAAGAAACGCACGAUUGCCCCGGCGAGGAGCCGCGACGGGGACGCAGUGCUUGGGGUUGUCGAUUCCAUUGACUGCCGCGAGGACAACCUUGAUGAUGAUUGGCGAGUACAAAGAUUAUGGGUCGUAUUUUAAAACAUGUCGUCGCCCAAGCACUGAUAUUUGACAAGGCUUUCGUAUGAGUUUUGGACUUUUCCAGGGAUAGUUUAAUGGCCCUGGUGGUAGUUUGAUCCUUCUUCUGUACGAUGAACCUGAAAUACCACUCAUG